rnacentral:rRNA from 1 species
CGUAGGGUGCGAGCGUUAAUCGGAAUUACUGGGCGUAAAGCGUGCGCAGGCGGUUUGUUAAGUCAGUGGUGAAAUCUCCGGGCUCAACCCGGAGACUGCCAUUGAUACUAAUAGUCUUGAAUUCUGUUGAGGUGGGCGGAAUAUGUCAUGUAGCGGUGAAAUGCUUAGAUAUGACAUAGAACACCGAUUGCGAAGGCAGCUCACUAAGCAGAUAUUGACGCUGAGGCACGAAAGCGUGGGGAUCAAACAGGAUUAGAUACCCUGGUAGUCCACGCCCUAAACGAUGAUUACUCGACAUACGCGAUACACAGUGUGUGUCUGAGCGAAAGCAUUAAGUAAUCCACCUGGGAAGUACGUCCGCAAGGAUG